UACGUGGGAGGGCUAGCGUUGUCCGGAAUCAUUGGGCGUAAAGAGCGUGUAGGCGGCUCGAUAAGUCUGCUGUGAAAGUCCAGGGCUCAACCCUGGAAGGCCGGUGGAAACUGUCGGGCUAGAGUCCGGAAGAGGCGAGUGGAAUUCCCGGUGUAGCGGUGAAAUGCGCAGAUAUCGGGAGGAACACCAAUGGCGAAGGCAGCUCGCUGGGACGGUACUGACGCUGAGACGCGAAAGCGUGGGGAGCAAACAGGG
rnacentral:rRNA from 1 species